UGUGGCCUCUUUGAGCAGAACCCAGCAGCUGCCCCAUAUCAGAGAAGAGUCAGCUCCAACUGGCUCUAAAAGGGACCUGCCGCUGGCCAGGGCCAAACCAGUGAGUGACAUUGGUUGUGCCUCUGUGAAAGCAGAUUUAAGAAAGGGGGGAAAAAAUAACUGUGCCACAGCAACUCAGAGAGCUGAGAAAUCCAUCCUCUGUUCGUUGAUGCCUCCCCAUAGACAAAUCCAAAGCUAGAAAUCAGGAGAGAAAAGAAAAAAAAAAAAAAAGCCGGAACUGGGAACUCCUGAAACUAAUCUUAUGGACUGUGUUUUCAGGAGUUGAAGCAUUAGACCACAGAGAAUUCCAAGAUGGUGUAAACUCUGAAGAAUAAAUCAUUAGGUGUCAGAAAACCACUAUGCACUUUCAUAGGGAAGGCUGUGUAUGCCCUUAGGAAGGACAUUUCCCUUUUGGGUCUCUCUCCUGUGCUGGAUCUUCUGUUCAUUUUGUUUCAGAAUAACCUUGCAGUUGCAACUACUGAUACCUUUUAUUCCCUUUCAUCGAUUCCUUGACUCCAGAGGUGGACUUACAGAAAUUAUAUGAACCCCAAAUAGUUAAUAUUGAGAAGACUGCCAACAUUUUGGGAGAUGAAAACAACCUAUGCUCAUUCCUUGCAAGCAUCAUGAGGACAACAAAAAGGUCAGUGACUUCAUUGCUAAACAGAGCAUGCAAGGAAGGAGUGUGGCAUGCACAUGAAGAGCGGCUGGAUGCUUCACAAUGAGAGACACCUUCAAUAUAAAUCAUGGGAAGCUUGCUUCAGAUCUGCCACAUUUAUUUUUCUGAUUCAAUCUCUGCUUCAACCUCUGUGCCAUCUUUAGGCUUGCCAGCACCUCUCCCCCAGCUACCUGUCAGCCCAAAUCUUCCACAACCUCAGGAUUCUCAUCACUGCAGCUGGCCCUGCAGCAUCUUGCAGAGGGGAGACUGUGUUUUGCAAUGAACUGUCUUUUGAGUAGGACUUCUGAGAUGAUGAAACCUCACUCUGCCUCACAUAGCUUGCUAGGCAGUUGGGGGUUUGCUGGGGUGAGCAGUGGCAACAGGGCAUAUCUCUCCUAGAAUUAAAUGUAAAUUAGACUAUAUUAAUGAGUGCAUUUUAAAGCACCACAGGGACCAGGAAUAAUGUGCUUCUUACUGGCAUUAGCGUAUUUAUAGAGAAAGCUGUCCAGCAAAUAGGUGUUUUAGUUUCCUCAAUUGUCUGUAGGGUUAAAAUGCCUCUACUAAUACUUUCCAACAACAUUCCUUUAAAUACUAAUCAACAUAAAGCCUGAAGCUAUUGACCCCUGUUGCAACACAACACAUUAACAUGCAAGGGAAACCUUCUCUGCCCAUUUCUGAAAGGGGCAAAGCAGCUCUGGGCCCAGCAUUUGGCCCCACAGAAUCAUUAUUCCAUUUGCAAGCUUAACAAAGUGCUGCAUUAAAUUUCAGGAACUAUUGAUUGCUCUCUAGGUGGUUAUGCAAAAUCAAUUGUGGGGUUUUGUUUUAGGGAAGAGAGUAUGAGAGGAGAAAGGUUUUGACAGGAAACAUGCCAGGAUUUAAAAGAAGAAACAUGUGGUUGAGAGGCAUAGGAAUGUCAUGGGGUCACAACUUCAAAGAUCGAAGCUCCAUCUAGACAAGUCCUAUCUGUUGCUCAAAUAUAUCAUCACAGGUUUCUUGAGGCUAUCUUGAAGGGUCUCCUGGCUUUGUUCACCCCCUUCUCAUUGCACAGAGAGCUCUCUAUGGUUUGCAGUUUACUAUAAUUUAACAAAUAAAUUAAGUCACUAGGGAGAAGGAGAAAGAGGAUAUCUGUGCAUAUACCUUGAGGUUACAUUGAAUCUUUUAUCAUACUUAAAAGGUUGACUACAGAAGGGAAUAAAUAGGAAGAUUAUUUGGAUGAGGAUUUCAGUCUUUCCAGUUACCAUGUGCGUAAGCACAACAACGUUUUGUAUGCUGAAGUAAUUUGUUGAAAAUGGGCUACACUGAUUCACUUCUCACAGAAUCAAAUCUAUAAAGCAUCUGCUUUACCUACAACAUUUACCACCAGUGGGUAAAACAAAAUGAAGCUCGUGGAUACACUUCAGCCCAUACUGAUGGAGAAUAAAAACCAUUUAGGACUGAAAUAACAGUUAAUGUUGAUUACCUCCCAAUGACCAUAACAAAACUUAUAAAAAUUAUACACCUUGGAAGAGUCAUCAAAGAUAUUUAGGAAAAGGCACUGUAAAUUAAGGAUGUACCUUCUCACCUAUUGCUGGACUGUUCAGAGAGCUUGUAGUAUCACUUCCAUUCCAUGCUUAGCCAUAUGUAUAAAAAGGAGUUUGUUUUUCCAGGCUGUCAGGGAAAAGCCUCUCAGAGAGCACUAAAUUCAUACACAGUCACUGUCAGUGUCUGGAGCUGGUAUGGGGUAAUAGAGGCAUGACUCAAGAAUUUAAGGAAUGGAACUGAAGGCUUUAUAUAACUGAAGCACAAGAAAAUGUGAAAGAAAAAAGAGCAAUUACCAAUAUGGCUCAUGUCUUAGAGCCUCUAAAACACAAUUGGGAGAAUUAUUUAUAACUCAUAAACAGCUUUUUUUUUUUUUUUCCCUCAAAAACGUGUACAAUUUUGCAGAGGAAACAAUAAUUAGUAAAUUGUUCAUUAAUAGCUCAUUGCAAUAUUAGAAAUUUGAACAGUAUUGGAUUACUACAGGAAAACCAUUGGGAUUACUAUGGGAACCCCACCGAAGUCAAAAUUCAAUCAAAGGAAUUGCUAUGUGAGUGAAUUCUGUAACAAAUGAACAAUUAAUGCAUUUCAUGAUUUUGUGCUAUAUACCUUCUAAGCAGUUGCUUUCCAACAUGCACUUCUUUGGGCUUGCUAUUCCAUUCACAGUGUUGGUUUUUUUUAUAUAUGUUCAAGUGGAAUGUUGACCUACUGUAAUUUUCCACUGAGAAUAUACAUGCUAAAUUAAUAAAUAUCAAUAAUUAAUUAACAUCAAUAUUGAUAAAUGUUAAUAAAGUAAUUAUAAAGCUGGUAAACAAGAACGAAAAGCAUAUUCAAAGUCAAUUAAUUCAAAGUGGAGAAAUUAUUAGGAAAGAUUAGGAGACCAGUGAUGCCAGUAUGUCACUUCGAGAUGUCUUUAUUUUCCUUUUUACCUCUUCAUUUCCAUUGGCACAGAGCACACCACUGCUAGUAGACUGCCUGGUGUGAAAGCAGUUUUAUCCCUGCAAUGUUCCCUGGUCUCAGCUGACAUCAGAGUAAUUAGUGAUAUAA